rnacentral:rRNA from 1 species
AAGCUCGUAGUUGAAUUUCGGGAUCAAUUUAUUGGUCGUGCAAUCGUACGUACUGGUAUUAUUGAUUCCUACCUUCUGACGAAUCAUGAUGUCAUUAAUUUGGUGUCAUGGGGAAUCAGGACUGUUACUUUGAAAAAAUUAGAGUGUUUAAAGCAGGCUCACGCUUGAAUACAUUAGCAUGGAAUAACGAAAUAGGACGUUUGAUUCUAUUUUGUUGGUUUCUAGGAUCGACGUAAUGAUUAAUAGGGAUAGUUGGG